AUCUUGAAAGUCAGAAAGAAGAUGGAGGUUAAAUCAACUAGUGGUGACAGUGAAUUCUUUUAGCCUGGAAUCACUACCAGCUCCUGUUUCACAUUGUAGUGCCAUUGCUUCCUAUGCCUCUCUCAACAACUCUUUUUUUUUUUUUUUUUCACCAACACUUCUCACAGCUUUCCUUUUAAUACUCUGUUGUUAAUGGCAGCCUGUACAUGUCAGAAGUGCAGGGCAGGAGGGGGAAGAUUCCACUCUUUUGUUGCUGAAAACAACAUUGUAUGACAUGGAAUAACCUUUUGAUCAGUUUGGAUCAGCAAUCCUGGAUAAGUCUCCUACCAAGGUCUUGCUCACAACCAGCCCACGAGCCUUUGGAGCAGCAGUGAGGAGUGGAGAGCCUUCUCCUAGUGGUUGUCACCACACUGGAAGUGAACCUUCCCAACAGUCAUCUCUCAAGGUGAAAGGAUGAGCAAGAGUAGUUCUCAGUGAACUGCUUUGGGUAGCUCUUGAGCAGUAAAUGAUAUAAAAACCCUACCAAAGUUCUGAAGCACGAGUAGAAUUGGACCCAGGAGCUCAAAAGAGUUGAGGCAGGCUCAGACCCUUCAUAUCUUUUAUCCCCUGUGUUGAAUCAGUCACAGUACUGUGAAUAACUCUUCACCCAACUGGUUCCUGGGAGAUUAAUCAGAGUUGUGUCAUUGGGAUGAUCCUUUUCAUCCUUCAUUUGAAAUUGCCGUUCACUGGAAAGGAGUGAAAAAAGUAUCACGAAGGGAGCUUUCUAAAUUUCCAGUGAUAAGUUAAUUGAUGGUAAUUUAAAAAGACUUGCCAAGUGGACAGUUGAAGCAGCAAGCCCAUCAAUAGGGGAAGAUCUCAGCAUGCAUCAUCAUCUACAGUCAUCCUUCUACUUAUCAGUUUUCCAGGGAGCCAGAACAGCAGGACAAGAACAUGUAUAUUGCCCUCCAGGGCUGUCGUAGAAGAUGAUGUCUUAUUAAGCUUUACAAAUAAACAACUGAGGAGUGCAUUAUCAAGUAUAUGAAGAUAAAAAUUCUAAUCGGAAAGGACUGAUCCAAUUUCUUUAGCAGUCAGUAGCAAAAUUCCCACUGACUGCACGAUGGAAAUGAGGGUAGGCUUAAUAAGUGGACAUAAUCUAUUAUUCUGUCAUGAAUAUA